UGCUCCGCACGCGACUGGCGAUAGGCAACCCCGACUGCAAAACCGGGGGGUGCUGAAGUGGGAGCACCACGGGGGAGCGUGCCGCAUAGCCUGUUUGGGCUGCGCGAUCAGCCGUUCGCCUGGGCAGCCCUG
rnacentral:ncRNA from 2 species